GCUAACGGCCAUACCAGCCGAAGAAAGCCUGGUAUCGUCUGAUCUCGGAAGCUAAGAAGGCUUGGGCCUGGAUAGUACUUGGAUGGGAGACUGCCUGGGAAUGCAGGUGCUGUAAGCU
ensembl:rRNA 5S_rRNA 5S ribosomal RNA